rnacentral:rRNA from 1 species
UACCAGCACCCCGAGUGGUCGGGACGAUUAUUGGGCCUAAAGCAUCCGUAGCCGGUUUUACAAGUCCUCCGUUAAAUCCAGCUGCUUAACAGAUGGGCUGCGGAGGAUACUAUAGAGCUAGGAGGCGGGAGAGGCAAGCGGUACUUAGUGGGUAGGGGUAAAAUCCGUUGAUCCAUUGAAGACCACCAGUGGCGAAGGCGGCUUGCCAGAACGCACUCGACGGUGAGGGAUGAAAGCUGGGGGGAGCAAACCGG